ACGGGAGGCAGCAGUCGGGAAUAUUGCGCAAUGGAGGAAACUCUGACGCAGUGACGCCGCGUAUAGGAAGAAGGUUUUCGGAUUGUAAACUAUUGUCGACAGGGAAGAUACAAGACUGUACCUGUCAAGAAAGCUCCGGCUAACUACGUGCCAGCAGCCGCGGUAAUACGUAGGGAGCAAGCGUUAUCCGGAAUUAUUGGGUGUAAAGGGUGCGUAGACGGGAUUGCAAGUUAGUAGUGAAAUCCCCCGGCUCAACUGGGGAACUGCUACUAAAACUACGAUUCUUGAGUGCAGGAGAGGAAAGCGGAAUUCCUAGUGUAGCGGUGAAAUGCGUAGAUAUUAGGAAGAACACCGGUGGCGAAGGCGGCUUUCUGGACUGUAACUGACGUUGAGGCACGAAAGUGUGGGGAGCAAACAGGAUUAGAUACCCUGGUA
rnacentral:rRNA from 1 species